UGAGGGAGAACCCUCAGCUUGACAGUCUAAGGAAAAUUUAAAGACCAAACCCAGGAUGGUAAAAUGGCAAGAGGAUGGGUUUUGGAGUAACACAACCCUAGUCACAAAUCCUGACUCUUCCCCCUUAAUAGCUGGAUGACCGUAACCUUCUGACCAUCCUCAUCUGUAAAAUGAGGAGAAAAAGACUCGCCCUGGGGAUGCUGAGUUUUGAAGAAGAAAAUGUAUUUGAAGCACUUAGCACAAAGCCUGAUUGUUCAUAACUUUCUGCACCCUUUUCUUUAUCUCCUUCCCUUCUCUUCUUUCACUUCUUUUGAUGUUGUACAAUAUAAUCAUGUUUCCAGAAGAAAAGAUUAAGCCAUGAAUUUCUCUAUCCUCUAUUUACACAAAUUACAUGUUUCUUUCUAAUAUGAAUCAUUAUACAAUUCUACCACAUUAAAAUAACAAUAAAUUAUGAUUAAA
rnacentral:lncRNA from 1 species